GCCUGCCUGAAAGGAGAGGGUUGUGCAUUGCUGAGCUGCAACUUGCUUAGCAUUUUAUUCUGUUUCCUGCUGAUGCACUUGUGACCAUAAGCAACCAUCAAUAGGGGACACUGAUAGUUUGAAACUGGUCUUGGUCUCCUUGUAUUCCAUUUCUUAAGACAAAAAGCUACUGAGUGUAAUUCCCCAUUUCCUCAUAAAUUACAGACCACUAAUGUCUUUCUCAUGAUCUACUCUGAAAACAGCUUGCCAGGGGGAUGAAAUACAGACGUUAUACGUGACAUCAUAUAUUGUAUGCUGCAAGGAAAUGUGGAGAAUGAUGAGUAAUGAAGAACCACUGCCCAGAGUCAGUAUCAACAGGUAUUCCUUGGACUGGUGUGAAGAAAAGCAGAUAGCAGUCCUGCUGGUCUUAAAGAACAACGUGAAGCUUUUAAGGUGACUUGCCAAAGAGAGAAAAGAGGAGACAUACAGGAGCAAUAUGAACAAAACAGAAAUUUAUGUCGGAGAGGUGCCAGAUGAGACAUCUGGGAACGGCUGGAGGACAAACUAUGCAAGAAGUUUAGCCACAAUCCAUGAAAGCUAGAAAAAUUCUGCCUCAGCUCUGUCAAAACCCCAGAAAAUGAAGCUGUGCCUGAAGCAACACGCUGCAACUAGCUGGGCAUUUUAUUUAAGGCUUAAGCAGCAACAAACAAACAAGCAAACAAACAAAAAACACUCUGAGAGGGAAACACACAGGAAGGUUUCAUGAAAUGCUGUUUCCUUUGUAUCCUGAAUGCCUUUGGAGUGUCUGGGAGGUCCUGCACGGCCUGGCCUGUGGCAAAGUGGGUCAGAGAGCAGCCUCCUGCCACCUGAUGUUUUGUUUUUGCUGAGAGGAUGGAAACACUUGCAAAGUGUUAUGAUGCUUCUGUCAGUACUCGACAUGCACGAAUACCAAGAUUCAGCAAUUUGCAGUCGUGGAUCAUAGUGCAGCAGGAGACCCCCCCCAGCAAACCCUCCCUGUGCUCCCCUGGUGCAGAACAGCUCCUGCAGCAUCACUUCCCCCCUGAGGACCCCAGGUGACAGGGGACUGAGGUGAUGCAGGGUGGCAAAUUCUGCUCUUACUGCUCCCAUCACCUGAAAAUGAAAGGGAUGGGAUAGAGCCCCCCAUGUAAUAGAAAUUCAGGGUGUUUGGGAAGCUCUUCAUGGCUUCUUCUGGUCUUAAUAAGAGGGCCACGCUACAACAUUUUAUAAUCCUGUGAGAGCCAAAAAAAGCAUCCACAAAGCCCAGCUUGCCCAGCCGCAGUGUAUGGGAAACAGCCCUCAUGAAGAAAAGUGAGCAAAAACCCCACAGUCCUUUCACUUUUGGUAAUCCCCUCCCAAGCAUUGUUCCAGCCCAGAUGCACUCUGCUUUUCCUAGAUAGAGAGAGUGGGAUCCUGGGCUGGCAUCAGCUGGCAAUGUGCCACCCACCGCAGUGCAGCUGAUGUGGCUGUGCUAAUUAGCUCUUGCCAAGGCACUGACCUGCUGUUUUCUCCCUGACAGCAUCCCAUUGGUGAAACAUGACAUUCCGUGGGGCCAGGCCAAUCUGCUGUCUUUGCCACCCUCGCACCACUCUGGCCAGCAGAGAAGCUCAGGCUGGAAGCCAAGGACAGACCCGUGGCAGGAGUAUCACUGAGCCUGUGGGAAGCCUCACACUGUAGAAAAGCCCCAGGAGGACGGGAAGCAGCCGUGGCUGUGAAUCACCCUAGAAACAAGUGAUUCGCUAUGGGUAAAUGUGUGGAAGUAGCACAGUACUGUAAAGUGUGACUAAGGCUAUUAUCACAGAGCAGUGGGAAGGCUCCCAGCCCCCAGCACUUUCUUGAGGGUAUGUUAAUUAUUGCUAGGGGCGUGAAUACCUCAUGUCUGGAAUAAGCAACUCUUACUAAGCAGCUCCAUUGCUCUGUCCAUGCUAGAAACAAUGCUGGAUUGUCUAGAAAAGACUGUCGAGAACUUCUUAUAAAAUAUCAUUAGUGGAUUGGAACUAGGUGAUCUUUAAGGUCCCUUCUAACUCAAGCCAUUCAAUGAUUCUAUGGUUUCAGUGAUAAAACUACCAUAAUUCAGUACCAUCCAUCAGUGAGUGCUCAUUUAAUUAAUGGUAUCUCCCUCUUCAGCAGCAGAGAUCUUUGCUCUGAAGAGUCAUGGUCCUAAUGAGGACUCAGGCUGCCCUUGCAAAGAGUCAGGACAGGAGAUACGAACGCUGCUGCUCUAAGAAUCCUUGCUCCGGUAACUGUGAAGAAUGAUGUCUUGUCUCCCUGUCACCAAAGCAACAAGGCCGGUGUAUGGUCUGCUCCUGCCACAACCCAGGAGCUGUUUGGGCACUCAGGUGCUGGGAGUUAGCGUAGUACUUAACACAGACCAUUUAGAACUGACCAAUGAGGAAUGUUGGUGGAAGUCCUGCCUUGUGAUUCCAUGGUGCUUGGUCACAUUGCCAGAUCCUUCUGGGUCCCCUCAUAUUUCAUGAGGAAAAAAAUUACCUUGGCUAAGUUGAACUUCGUUGUUAGGAACAUGAUGGGAGUUAUUACUCUCUUCUGGACUGCACAUGUCUGGGUGCUACCAGGGAUUUGCCAAGCCUUAGUUAACAUUGUAUCACACAGUAGUUUGGUGUCUAGAGAAUGAAAAAGUCUAAAAUAUGCAAAUGAGCCCAGAACUGAGCUGCUUCUAAUCAUGCUGGAUUUUCUGUUUUCAUUUUAUGGCCCUGCACUCCCAAGGUCACCCUGAAUGUACCGUUUCACUUGUUUUAAGGCUUAAAUUGUCCUAAUGGGCAGAAAGUUUAUAAACAGAAGGCACCAUCAUCCUUCAGAGAGAAAGGUAAUGCAUAGUGUUGUUAUGCUGGAAGCACAGAGGCAAGCACGAUUCUUACAAAGACAAGACAGCUUUUUAUGUAAAUAACCUUGGAGCAAGGACAUUACCAUAACAAGACCUUCACCAAUAACACUUUCCAUCCUAGUUUCAAAUUUUGUAUACAAUAUGCAUCGUGACAACAUUACUACAACUCUGCUUAGCUAUUCCAAAGGAGAAUGCAGGCUAGGACUAAUGAUUACACUAAUGCAUUGUGUUGGUUAAUUGAAAGAAUUUAUGUCAUGAGAUAAAUGUCAGAGUUCAAAGUCAAGCGUGUGUACGUCUGUGAGAAAGAAAGAGAGAGAAUAUAUGCAGGUAGGAUUGUCAUCAGGGAAAGGACUAAAUAUAAGCCUCUGUGAUUUUAUAUCAGGGAAAACAUCCAGAAAUCCUUUCUAGGCAAUACAUUGCAUUCUUGUGGGACAGUAAUGAUGUACAAGCAAAGCAGCAUCUGUAAUGAGCUUGUAGUCAUCAUUGAGACUGGGAGCAUUAAUGCCAAUUUAUCUGGGAGGGAAGAGUGAGAAUAUGCCACUGAUGCCAGAAAAAUCCAUAAUAUUUCCAAGCAUUUUCUUUUCCACCUGGCCAAGAGCGCACACACACACUAUUAAUGAGAACACUAUUUUUUCCUACUAGCUUCCUGGAAGCUAUUUGCUUGUCUAAAAUACUUCACAGAGUCAUGGUAUAAUAAUACUAACUACUCACUACUGCGUCUGUUAUCUCAGACAGCAACUGUACUGUGAACUUGGAAGAGCAUUUUAAAAAAUGACGAAAGCCUAUCUUGAUCAAUGUUGACUAGUCAAUUGCUUAGUAUAUGCAAAAAACAUUAUCAUCCUUAAUUGCCCCUGUGAUACUGCACUCUGAGAGGAAUAUCCCUCAAAGGAAACCCUUGGGAGAAAAUGCUACUCUCAGCUUUUAUGAGACUAAUGUGGCUUGGAGUGAAUUGAUCAAACUCAUUCCGCACAGUAACUUAAAGUGCCUACUUAGCAUUAUUCCCAGUUGGUAGAUUACUCUGUCUAGUUUAUAGAUUAGUAAAAUGUUUCCCUUGUUGUUGGUUUCACCUGCAUUUUAGCCUGUAUUAAUAUUUAAAUUCCCUAAGAACAACUUUUGUCAUCUCUUUGAUGACAACAGAAGAAAUUAAAGCAAAGCAAAGGUAAACUUUGAGAUUUAUUCUUUUAUCUCCUACUUGGUACACUACGACUUUCUCAUUAUAGCUCUUCAGAGAAACAGGCUGUACAGGUUGCAGCCAAGUGCCACAUGAGACAACGAUAUCUGACUAUUUGUUGAAAGAGUCCAAGGGCUUUGAUUCAGCAAAGCAUUUCAAUAACUGCCUCACUUUCAGCAAUGAGCAUCUCCAGGUCCUUUAAUGCUUUGUUUCUGCACUGCCCUUAGGUUCCCCAGGGUGGAUGACAAUCGUAGACUCAUAGAAUCAUGUAAUCAUAGAAUCAUAUAACAGUUUGAGUUCGAAGGGACCUUAAAGACCGUCCAGUUCCAACUCCCCUGCCAUGGACAGGGUUGCCACCCAUUUCAUCAGGUUGCCCAGAGCCCAAUCCAAUCUGGCCUAAGGAUUAGGAGAGCACACAGUCUUGCUCAUGAUCAGCAAGUCCUGCAUGGCAGAGGUGGCCUGGCAAACCUCCUCUUCUGGAAGAAGGCGAGAGCAGCAAGAGCCCCAGUCCUUGAAUCCAGAAAUUGGAGGUCCUGGCCCCUCCGCAAAGCGUUGUAGGCAGAUGGGAGCUCUGCUUGAGAGAUUUCACAGGAAAAGCCAGCAGGGAGUGUGAUCUCAAGAGAUGGAAAAGAAGCUGUACUAACCUGUUCUAGGGUCUGAGCAUAAACCUUUUCACAGAAUGUAUUGUUUUCACUCCUACACUAGAUGAGUCCAUUAGACACUGCAUCAAUUACCAAAGAGUAUGUAAUGUAAAAGGCUCCAAUGGAUGUCCCAUAUCUAACAUGCUAUUAUAUACAAAGUAUAGCCGGGAAAAUAGCUUUUAGUAUAAAAGGGUUUUGCUGGAACCUGAGGCAUAUGCAGUUAGGUUUCAGUUCACUAAUUUCUCCUUAUUGAGGGCAGGAGAGUUUGCUGUAGGGUAAUCAACAACCUGGGUCAGAAAAGACUGGCCUGAUCUCAUACAAGGCACAGAGCAAAGAAUGCUUCUCUCUUAAUUCCUGUGCAAAAUUUGCUACCAGUGUUUGGUGCUAGAAAAUCAACCAAUUAUAAUGUUAAGCUUUCCAAUCGUGGAAAAUCCACUUCAGCCCUUGUUAAUGUUUACUUACCUUCAUUGAUAGGCAAAAAUGCUUUCACUUAAUUUGUAGUCUGAACUCGUCUGGUUUCAACCUGCAUCUACAGAGUCUUAUUAUACCUUCCUGUGCCCUCUUAUAUGAAGCUGCAACGUUAGCUAGAAAGAAAAAAGCACGCGGGUGUUAUUCCACAGGAAAUUAAGGUUCAGGCAGAUAAUGAUGGUACCUUCAGUGAAUCCAAGUGGCAAUGCAUGUCACCUUGCAGAACGUAGCCAAGAGCUGCACUUUUUGGGUAAUAUAUGUCAGUCUUCUGAGAUAAGAAUUACCUACCUAGAGUCUAACAUCAGUUACAGUCACUGCCUUUUAAGACGUCGAAACUAUAAAAAGGGUCAACAUAUGAAAUAUUCAUGCUGACAUUUCCCUGUAGCGCAUCCUUUCUGGGCUCAGCCAUCUCCUCAGCCAUGCG
ensembl:lncRNA